rnacentral:tRNA from 1 species
GAGGGUUUAGCUCAGUGGUAGAGCAUGUGCUUAAUAUGCACAAGGUCCUGGGUUUAAUUCCCAGUACCCCCA